UACGGAGGGUGCAAGCGUUAUCCGGAUUCACUGGGUUUAAAGGGUGCGUAGGUGGCUUGGUAAGUCAGUGGUGAAAGCCCGGAGCUCAACUCCGGAACUGCCAUUGAUACUGCUUAGCUUGAAUCAGGUCGAGGUGGAUGGAAUAUUACAUGUAGCGGUGAAAUGCUUAGAUAUGUAAUAGAACACCGAUUGCGAAGGCAGUUCACUAGGCCUGUAUUGACACUGAGGCACGAAAGCGUGGGGAUCAAAUGGG
rnacentral:rRNA from 1 species